AGCCCAGUGCAGAAUCUCUUAACAGCAGCUGUGUCCCUUUGUGAUUUUAGAACACAUACAGGGCCCCUGCUCUGCUAACUUUACUUCCUCUUCUUGUUUCUUUAGCCCAAGAGAUAUCAACAGGCUGUUGCUAGUCUCUGGGUGCCUCACCUUCCUGUUUGCUCUUUUAAUCCUUUCGACAGAACAAAUAUGCAGAUGAGUCAUCCAACUUGCAAAGAGGCCAUGGGAGGCACGAUGAGGUCAAGAAAAGAGCAAACUGACUUAGUGAGAGAGACCAAAGUUCCACUGCCAUCUUCCAGCUGUAUGACUUGCAUAUGCCAUUUAAAUGAAGUCUGGGUUUUUUUUAAUCUGAAAAAUUUGCCUUAUCUACCUCAAAAGAAGGGGAUGAAAAUGCAUCUUAAGCAUGAAGUGUUAUGCAAAUCUUGGUUGUGGUUAUUACUAUAAUUUCAUGUAUUGAUUUUAAACAAAAUGUACUUUGAGUUGGAAGGUAAAAAAUAUGAAAGACUCUAAGAAUGGGGGCGGGGGGAACCAAAUGAUCUGUGGCCACACUGAAGGUAGAAAAAAAGGAAGUGAAUUUGAACUAAAGAAGCAGAAGUUGAGAAAGUACCAAAGUCUUUGACUUUCAGAGUGACCGAACACCAGCAUAGUUCACCAGAGAAGAUCAGGAAUGCCGUCUCUUCUGAAAGGGUACCAAAAAGAGAGUAAACAGAUCAUUCUAUAUUGAUCAAGGAGUGGCAAACUGACAUCUGCAGAACAAAUCUGAUCCCCAGAUGAGCUCUAUUUGUUCAACAAAGAUGUUGUUGUCGUUGUUACUUUUUUUAUUGAAUUUGAGUGCUUUGGCGCACCUAGUCUUUCUGCCACUGUAGGUCCCACGACUUUCUGUUGCCUUAUACUCAGCCCUUUAAUUAUUCAAGAUACCUGCAGAGCCCUAGAGGCCUUUGAGGUUAUCACUUCUACUGAAGGCCAAUGCCCAAGGUUGCUGCCCUGCUAUCUCUCCUCCUAAGUUUUCCUAAAUGUGUUCUAGUGGUCACUAUGCCUGCAGCCUGUCUUCUCUCCACUCCAUCUAGCAUAUGAUAAGAUAAGUCCUUAUGUCUAAACUUCUCAGCCCAAUAUAUGAUAUCCUUUAAGAAAAGUUUUCAAACUUCCACUUUCAGUCUCAUCUCCUGACUUAUUUCCACACUUUUCCCUUUAAGUCCUCCAAACUUUCCAUUUGCUAGAGACAUCAUCCUUAUUUCUACUCUCAGCCUUACAUUUGGUGUUUUCUAUGACUUGAAUGCUUUUUAUUAUUCAGGGCCAAGGUCAAAUCUCAUUCCUAUGAGGCCUUUCCUAAUUUUCUUUCACUACCCAAACACUCACUUUAGGAAGAAUUAGUUACUCUUUUUUCUGUGUUUCCACAUGAAUCUAUCCAAUUCAAGGACUUCUUUGCAUGUAAAUCUCUAUAUCCAUAUUUCUCUACCACACUGUAAAAUCUUCAAGGCCAAAGACUGCAUCAUAUUUAUUUUUGCAUCUAUCUCAGGUCCUAAUACAAUGGUUAUACUAUGAUUGUAACUGAGUAAGAGUUAUGGUGGAUACACAAUUUUCAGCAGAUGUCCACAAAGGUAGAUAAAUGAAGAAACAUAGGAAGAGUGCCUGUUAUUUUCUGUUUCUUUUAGGAUCAGUUAGUACUUUUAUAUAGGCCUUUGAUUGGGCAGUGAUAUUUUGUGGGGUACAUUGCCUACUACAGGAAUGGAGAACCAGUCUUUUUUUUUUUUGAGAUGAAGUCUUGCUCUGUAGCUCAGUCUGGAGUGCAGAGGCAUGAUCUUGGCUCACCGCAAUGUCCGCCUCCCAGGUUCAAGUGAUUCUCCUGCCUCAGCCUCCAGAGUAGCUGGGAUUACAGGCGCAUGCCAUUGCACUUGGCUAAUUUUUCAUAUUUUUAGUAGAGACAGAGUUUUACCAUGUUGGCCAGGCUGGUCUUAAACUCCCGACCUCAGGUAAUCCACCCCCCUCGGCCUCCCAAAGUGCUAGGAUUACAGGCGUGAGCCACCGCGCCCAGCCAGACAACCAGUCUUUCAAACAUGUGCCUUUGAUGACACAGAGCAGGCUGGGAACAAUGCUAAGUCAUAUCCCCCUUCUUUUGAAGUAGAUAAGGCUGAUUUUUCAGAUUGCUACUUGCAAUCUUCUUCCACACCUAAAACUGCAAAAACUACCAAUUACAGCACAGACUGAAGGAAAAUUGCCUGGCACACUCCAGGGCACACCAACUUUCAGCACAUAUAUGCUCAAAGUUUGAUGACCUAUACCCCCAGAACGCUGCAAUUCUAUCUUAACAAUGUCAAUAAGCAGGACACUUGAUUUUUCACAUUGCUUUAAAAGAGAAACAAGAGUGAUAGAUUUGAUUUGCAGACGAAACACUGAAAAAGAAAACAAACAAAACACAGUUUCGUCUUUUUUUUUUUUUUUUUUUUCCAUUUUCUGGAGAACGGGGCCUCGCUAUAUUGCCCAGGCAGGUCUCGAACUCCUGGGCUCAAGCUAUCCUCCUGCCUCUUGCCUCCCUGAGAGCUGGGAUUACAUGCGUGAGCCACCGCGCCCGGCCACAAAACACAGUUUCAAGAAUGAAAUGCCCUAAGAGGGAUUUCAUGAUUUCUAGAUGAUACUCAUUAUACAUAAGUCUGUGCGAUAUUCCUAUGUUACAGCGAUCCAGCACAAUACUGGUUCUUCAUGACACUGGAGUAAAUUAGGAGAUUAGGGUUCAACAAGGUUGUAUAAAAAGGUUUGACUUUUGACGUUUGGAAGCACAGUUGCAUGGGGAAAUAAGAGGAAUAUUUGUCACAGCUCUGUAACUUAAAAAAAAAGGAAAGGAUUCUU